GGCUCUGGAGGCCUUGGAGGGUGACCUGGCAACCCAGCGGGACCUUCGUCAGGAAUUGGUCAUCACUAUUGGAUUGGCAGGGGGAGCCGAUGUCAAAGAUGUCUUUUUUGAGAAACUGCAUCUGAAGGCAGUAGUGAUUGAUGCAGUGAGGCGCAAUCCAACCUGCUCGGCUGCUACGGAUUUACAGAUCGGCUACAAAGGCUACGAAGAGAUGGUUUAACUGGGCGCGAUGUG